rnacentral:rRNA from 1 species
UACGUAGGGGGCAAGCGUUGUCCGGAAUCAUUGGGCGUAAAGAGCGUGUAGGCGGCCCGAUAAGUCCGCUGUGAAAGUCCAGGGCUCAACCCUGGAAUGCCGGUGGAUACUGUCGGGCUCGAAUCCGGAAGAGGCGAGUGGAAUUCCCGGUGUAGCGGUGGAAUGCGUAGAGAUCGGGAAGAACAUCAGUGGCGAAGGCGGCCUGCUGGGCUGUUGCUGACGCUGAGGCGCGACAGCGUGGGGAGCAAACAGG